rnacentral:rRNA from 1 species
CGUGCUCUACGGGGGGCAGCAGUGGGGAAUAUUGGGCAAUGGAGGAAACUCUGACCCAGCAAUGCCGCGUGAAUGAAGAAGGUCUUCGGAUUGUAAAGUUCUUUAGUCAGGGAAGAAGUCAAUGACGGUACCUGAAGAAUAAGCUCCGGCUAACUACGUGCCAGCAGCCGCGGUAAUACGUAGGGAGCAAGCGUUGUUCGGAAUGACUGGGCGUAAAGGGUGCGUAGGCGGUUGGACAAGUUAGAAGUGAAAUACCCAGGGCUUAACUCGGGGGCUGCUUCUAAAACUGUAUGACUU